rnacentral:rRNA from 1 species
CCUACGGGAGGCAGCAGUAGGAGGCAUCCAUUUUGGUCAGCAAGUAGUUGCCCAAAGUGGGACGGAUCACUGUCGCGUGGAGAUAAAAGGUCGACGGGUCAUGUAUUCAUCAGCGGAGAAGAAACAAGACGAAAUGGACUAAGAAGCUCCGGCUAACUACUUGCCAGCCGCCGCGGUAAU